rnacentral:tRNA from 1 species
GUCAGGGUAGCUCAGCUGGUUAGAGCGCAGGAUUCAUAACCCUGAGGUCGGGAGUUCAAGUCUCCCCCUUGACACCA